AACACCAAACUCUCUCAAACUCCCUACACUCUCUCAAACUCUCUUAAACUCCCAAAAAUCACUCGAAGACUAACCCCCUAUAAAUGAUUUUUUUUUCCCAUCUCUAAAAUCCCAGUAGGAGUGAGUGUUGGAGGGUUGAAUGAAUGAGAGUUUGUUGAUAUAGCUCCUUGAGGUGCAGUGGUGUGAAGAGGUAAAGAACUCCUCUCUCGGUUUCAAAUUAUAAUCUCGUUUUAUAACAUAAAAUCAUUAUUUUCUUUUUGGUUAAAUGAAUUGAUGUUUCAAGAACAAGGAUGCAAAUGGGUGCUCUUGCUGUGGGACGAGCGAUUACGGUAGGGGGUUUCUUUUUUUUAAAUUUCUCGUUUUAUUUGGUGCUAAUCAAACUGAUUUUGGUGGAUUAGUUGCCCCGUUAUUCCUUGUUUUGUAUGAUUCAUGAGAUUCACUAAAUGGUAUUUGGUAAUCAUCUUUGUCUCAUGAUUAAUCAUCUUACAUUACCGCAACUUCAAUUUUCUUGGUAACCUUACUUGAGUCUGCAGAGGGAGUACGAUUUUGGCGAUUUUUGUUUGAUAAUCCUUGCUAAUGUAGAGUGGGUUGAUUAUGCCAUCUCGUUUUAUGAACAUUGGAACUGUUAUUACUCCCAAAUAUUUAUGUUUUGAUUUUCCUAAAGUUUUAGUAGGGUCUGAAAAUAAUCUAGUUCUGAUUUUUUUUUUUAUCUUAAAUCAAGUUUCAUAGUUUAGUUUCCAAAGUAGCAUAUUACAUGUUUGUAUAAAUGAUUACAUGAGCUAAUGCAACCUGUUCGUCUUGUUUAAUCCUAAUCCUUGUGUUUUCAUUAAAUGGAUAUUUAAAAUCUCUACUUAACUGUGAUAUUUAUGAUUGAUUAUUGAGAAAUUUAACAAGUCUUUCAUAUUUGUUGAUUUAACUCCAACUAUAGUCAAAACUGAAAUUUCAAAGUGUCGCUAUCAUGUUUUAUUGUGGCUUUGCGAAACAAAUAUGUACUUCACUUCUUUUGUUACCAAUUUUUUGUUAAAGAUGACUUCCUCUAGUUUCCAACAAGACUAAAUUCGCUGGAAUCCACAGCUAAAUGAAUUUUAUACAAAUUUUCUGUUGGAGACUUGCGAAUCUGAAAGUUUUCUGAACAUGGUGCUGCUGUGCUGUUUUGCCGAGGCGUUUUCACUCAUCUAUGAACCUCAAUACUUCAGCUUAUCAUUUUUAUGUCAAAGAAGAGUCUCUCAGCUUUCCAACAAGACCAAACUUGCCCAAUUCCGUCUUCUAACAAAUUUUGUAUCAAUUUUUGAUUUAAUACCCCCAAAACUGAACUUUCUGAAACGAUUAUCCCUGUCCUGUUUAUUUGAGACUUUUCGAGUCAGUUGUAUGCCACAUUUCUUUUGGUAAAUUUUUAUGUUGAGUAAGGCUUUCUCAGCUUUCCAACGAAACCAAAUUUGCCGAAUUCCAUUGCAUAAUGAAUUUUUUAUGAAUUUUUAUUUACGGACUACCGAAACUGCAGUUUUCUGAAAAAUGUGACUCAUGUCCUGUUUUAGUGAGUGUUCUCGGCACAGAUGUAAACCUUACUGUAUUUUCUUAUAAUUUUUAUAUGAAAAGAGGACUUCUUAUAUUUCCAACAAGCCAUAGUUUGUUGAAUUUCGUCGCCAAAUGAAUCUCGUACAUAUUUUUGAUUAUAGACUAUGCAAACUGCAAAUCCCGAAAAUGUGAUUUCUGUUCUGUUUGGUAGAACGUUUUCGGCAUAGCUAUGAAACCAUUUACUUCUUCCUAUCAUUUUUAUCUUGAAGAAGGGUCUCUAAGGUUUCCAAAGAGACCAAAUUCGCUUCAUUUCAUCGUGUAAUGAAUUUUGGAAAAUGGGUAUGCAAACUGGAAUUUUGAGUGAAUCCAUUUCAGAUUCUGUGUCAUACAAGUUUUGCCAUUUGCGUAUCAAAGAGAGUUUUACAAGUUUUAUUAUCAGGCACUUACAUAUGAUUUUCAGGCCAAAGCAAAGAAUGGGUUGUAUUACCAAUCUAUUUUGAAUUGUUUUCUCUUCUUAUUCCUCUCGGCAGUCAAGGAUAGGUUAGUUCUGUUACGUUUUAAUAAAAUGAGAAUCUUUCAUAAUUUGUGAAUUUUGCAAUGAAUGCUUUACUGAGCUUGCUCGUUUCUUUGCAUAUUGUUUACAUGUUGAGUUAUCGUGACUCAGUAAGAACUUAUUUGCCAAUGCUGCCAGUGCUUAUAUUUGAGUAAGUUUUCAGUUAUUGAUUUACGAGGUUCUUCAGAAUUUGGUUUGAUGUUUCCCUUGUGACAACUGGAUUUGGAAACUAGAGAACUCUACUAUAGGAUCGUCGGGCCUUAAUUGGCACCCCAUCUACGGAUGGCAACCCGGAAGACCGUUUGUUUGAUAAUGGUGGCUGGUAUCGGACUACCCUGACGUUGGCUACGACCAUGUAAUUGAGUUAGGUUUCAUUCUGGAGCAGUAAGCUACAAGAAGCUUGCGGCAGCGAAGCUAGGGACGCAAAGUUGGUAUUUACUUUGUUGUCCUUAUAUAUGUAUUUAUCAUGGCAUGAUAACAAGUGGGUAUUGAGAGUGUUUUGUUAACUGUUCAUGUUCAGUUUUGCUUAAAUUUUCCAUCAAGUACUCAAAUGCCUUUGUAAAUGAAUGUUGGUUUGCAGAACUUGUAUUUAAUAAACGGAAGUGUCAUUGAGGUAUUUCCUUUGAUUUGUGUCUUGUUUGUCAUAUAUAUUCCUCUUAUGGUUUCUCUUUUA